AGACAGGCAAACAGGCUGUUUUACCACUGCGGGAAAAUGGCACAUUUAUUUUUUUUUCUUACACUCUGUUUUAUAACUUGUAAGUAUAAAAUCAUGUAAAUUUGAUGGGCGAGCGACUAAUCUUAAACAGGAUAACCUGGGAAUGUGUUUUCUUCUAUUUUAUUAGGUGCUCAGUGUCAGAUUACAUUGAUUCAGUCUGGAAAUGGACUUGUAAAACCAACAGAAUCUCUUAAACUCACCUGUAAAGUUAAUGGAUAUACCAUAAAUAGUGGUGCGUGGUGGCACUGGGUGAGACAGCCAACUGGUAAAGGACUGGAGUGGUUGGGAGUUAUCAAAAAUGAUGGAAGCACAGUAUACAAUUCUGCUCUGAAGAACAGAGUGACAAUCACCUGGGACAUUUCUGAAAAUAAGUUUUAUCUGCAGCUGAACAACAUGAGUCCAGACGACUCUGCCACAUAUUAUUCUGCUCGGCACACUAUGAAAG